AUAUAUUAGUUAGUUACGGUUAAAAUCAGUGAACAAUGUCUUAUAAAUUAGUUUAUAUAACGACAGUAUUUUUGGAAUGCACAAGCUCAAAGAAGUGUCGUUUUUAACUAUCAUCUAAAACUCUGCUGUGAUUAAUGCCGCAAGGAAAAGCAUAGAAAAAAAGAAGAACGUAAGAUUUUCCUUAUCAAAAUCAUGUCUCACGAUUGGCUAAUGCACAAGAUAUUGGUUUUAAAAGGUCUAUUUUACAAUCAACAAAAAGACCACACCCUAUACAUAUUUAAUUUAAAGUGCCAUAGAGAAGUGUUGUAUGUUAUCACUCCCCGUGAAACGAUUUAUAUGCUAAAACAUAGAUAAUGUUUCUAUCGAAGCUAGUCAAAAAUUUUUAAAAUAUUUUGUUUGAAUAAUUUCUAAAUUACAUUCAUUAUGUUACCCUAUCAAAUAUUAUGGUCUUAUUACGAAGCUCGGAUUUGCCUGGGGAAAAGCAGUAAUAGUUUAUAGUAAACGAUCUAUCAUCAAAUAUGCGUGAGCUUAUGCCAUUUUGAUGACUAGCAGGUCAAUUCGGAAAAAAGGGUUAUCGUAUCCAACACUGCGUUCGCACAAGUGAUAAGAUAAGGAUUGUGACCACUAACAACUAGCAAUGUUCGUUCAUGACGGCAUGGUAAAAAUAUUCAACUCCACUUGUCUACCUUCUUACAGUAGGUUACGGCACAGUCCAAACACAAUUCCUCUAAUAUGUUUAGCUAUAUCGAUUCUUCGAAUGGGACCAUACACUGGCAUAAAGCACACAGCACAGUAACCAAUUGAGGGUUGCUUUUUUCCACCUUAUCGCCCCAUAAAAUGAUACCAACGAUCUACGAACCGUUGCUUUGAAGAAAAGUGAACAUCUAAACCAAUGUUGAGAACCGUAAACGCAAAGUUGAAUGGAUGUGCAUCAAUGGACACCAGAACAAAUAUUGGUUAACAAAGGGUAGAACAUUGAUUUUUUCCUGUAUCAUAAUGAGGCAUAGCACAUACGUUCUCCAUCUUUAUAGCAUUCCAAUGGAAGGACUACAUUGUUACGGCUUUGCACUUAACUUUUUUCUUCACAGCUAUUUUUACGGUACGGUGGACCGAGUAAGAUUAUUUCGCACGCACGAUUUUACGUACACACAAGAAGGGAUCAGAACACUCGACAGAAUGCUAUUUUUUGCCUGUAACGACCUUCGGUCGUGAAACGUGAAACAUAAAACCCCGGACACAAUCUAA